UACGGAGGGUGCAAACGUUGCUCGGAAUCAUUGGGCGUAAAGCGCACGUAGGCGGUCUUUUAAGUCGGAUGUGAAAGCCCCAGGCUCAACCUGGGAAGUGCAUCGGAAACUGGAAGGCUGGAGUACGGAAGAGGGUCUCGGAAUUCCCGGUGUAGAGGUGAAAUUCGUAGAUAUCGGGAGGAACACCAGUGGCGAAGGCGGAGACCUGGGCCGAUACUGACGCUGAGGUGCGAAAGCGUGGGGAGCAAACAGG
rnacentral:rRNA from 1 species